CGUUCAACUCUAAACACAGUGCAUGGCUUCGAUCGCGGCAGGAAGGAUGCUGCUUUAGCCGACAAUUUGGAGGGCUGUGUUUCAAUCCACACCUGAAAUUUUGCGGGUCUUGGAAAGAUUGGGCGCAAAGCAUAAAUUCACCUUGAAAAGGUCACCAACCAAUCACAGAGCAAUGGAGUACUUUUGAAAG